AGGGAGAAGAGGGGUGCUAAUGUCAGGGUGGCCCUAUCCCCCCACUCCUGCCCCUGCUCCUGUACCUCAUCUCCACAGAGAAGGGGGGCAACAGGACAGGGCUCAGGAUGGAGGCAUUGUGCUGGCAGCAGCUGCUGUCUCAACUUGCUCAUCUACUUAAAAAGGCAGUGUACUUAGAGUGGCAUCAGUGUACUGUGA